rnacentral:rRNA from 1 species
GACGAACGCUGGCGGCGUGCUUAACACAUGCAAGUCGAACGAAGUGGGGAACGGGAGAGUAAUACGUACGUAACCUGCCCUCCUUUUUGGGAUAAGCAUACGAAACGGGGUCUAAUACCGACUAAAGGGGGAUGGGCUCGUGGCCUAGCUGUUUGUUGGUUGGGUGCUGGCCUAACGAGGCGGUGAUGGGUAGCCGGCCUGAGAGGGUGACAUGGCACAUUGGGACUUAGAGACGGCCCAGACGCCUAGGCGAGGAAGCGGUGGAGGAUAUGGGACUAUGGGCGAAAGCCUGAUGGCGCGACGCAGCGUGGGGGAGUAAGGCCUUCGGGUUGUAGAGUACUUGCAGCGGGGAGACGUUACCCGCAGAAGAAGCGCCGGCUAACUCCGUGCCAGCAGCCGCGGUAAUAC